rnacentral:rRNA from 1 species
AGCGAACGUUAGCGGCGGGCCUAACACAUGCAAGUCGAGCGAGAAAGUGGCUUCGGCCAUCAGUAAAGCGGCGGACGGGUGAGUAACACGUAGGUAAUCUUCCCUUGAGCGGGGGACAACGUUUCGAAGGAACGCUAAUACCGCAUAAGUUUUCUGAGCCUCCGGGUUUGGGAAGGAAAGCCAGGUCGCAAGAUCCGGCACUCGAGGAGGAGCCUGCGUCGCAUCAGCUAGUUGGUGGGGAAUGGCCUACCAAGGCGAAGACGCGUAGCUGGUCUGAGAGGAUGAUCAGCCACACUGGGACUGAGACACGGCCCAGACUCCUAUGGGAGGCAGCAGUGGGGAAUAUUGGACAAUGGGCGCAAGCCUGAUCCAGCCACGCCGCGUGAGUGAUGAAGGCCUUCGGGUCGUAAA